AGCGAACGCUGGCGGCAGGCCUAACACAUGCAAGUCGAACGAACCUUUCGGGGUUAGUGGCGGACGGGUGAGUAACACGUGGGAACGUGCCUUUAGGUUCGGAAUAACUCAGGGAAACUUGUGCUAAUACCGAAUGUGCCCUUCGGGGGAAAGAUUAAUCGCCUUUAGAGCGGCCCGCGUCUGAUUAGCUAGUUGGUUGAGGUAAUGGCUCACCAAGGCGACGAUCAGUAGCUGGUCUGAGAGGAUGAUCAGCCACAUUGGGACUGAGACACGGCCCAAACUCCUACGGGAGGCAGCAGUGGGGAAUCUUGCGCAAUGGGCGAAAGCCUGACGCAGCCAUGCCGCGUGAAUGAUGAAGGUCUUAGGAUUGUAAAAUUCUUUCACCGGGGACGAUAAUGACGGUACCCGGUGAAGAAGCCCCGGCUAACUUCGUG
rnacentral:rRNA from 1 species